CAGCAGCCACGGUAAUACGAAGGGGGCUAGCGUUGUUCGGAAUCACUGGGCGUAAAGCGCACGUAGGCGGCUUGGUAAGUUAGAGGUGAAAGCCUGGAGCUCAACUCCAGAAUUGCCUUUAAGACUGCCGAGCUAGCAGGUGAGAGAGGUAAGUGGAAUUCCGAGUGUAGAGGUGAAAUUCGUAGAUAUUCGGAAGAACACCAGUGGCGAAGGCGGCUUACUGGCUCAUACUGGACGCUGAGGUGCGAAAGCGUGGGGAGCAAACAGGAUUAGAUACCCCCGUAGUCCCUGUCUCUUAUAC
rnacentral:rRNA from 1 species